GACGAACGCUGGCGGCGUGCUUAACACAUGCAAGUCGAACGGUAAGGCCCUUCGGGGUACACGAGUGGCGAACGGGUGAGUAACACGUGGGUGAUCUGCCCUGCACUUUGGGAUAAGCCUGGGAAACUGGGUCUAAUACCGAAUAGGACUCCGGACUGCAUGGUCUGGGGUGGAAAGCUUUUGCGGUGUGGGAUGGGCCCGCGGCCUAUCAGCUUGUUGGUGGGGUGAUGGCCUACCAAGGCGACGACGGGUAGCCGGCCUGAGAGGGUGACCGGCCACACUGGGACUGAGGUACGGCCCAGACUCCUACGGGAGGCAGCAGUGGGGAAUAUUGCACAAUGGGCGCAAGCCUGAUGCAGCGACGCCGCGUGAGGGAUGACGGCCUUCGGGUUGUAAACCUCUUUCAGCACAGACGAAGCGCAAGUGACGGUAUGUGCAGAAGAAGGACCGGCCAACUACGUGCCAGCCGCCGCGGUAAUAC
rnacentral:rRNA from 1 species